rfam:Clostridium caminithermale DSM 15212 genome assembly, contig: EJ27DRAFT_scaffold00029.29
CGGAUAGUAUCUUUUAGUGAACUAUACCCUUAUUUAUUAAACAUUAAAAACUUGAUAAGUUAUUUAUCUGCUCUGAGCCUAUAAUAUGGACCGAGACAGAAGG